ensembl:lincRNA
AGCUUGUCUGGAAAGCAUUUGUCUUCUUUCCUGAAGAAGUGGUGGAGACAUUCAUUAAUGACGUAUCAUGGAUAAGAAGACCAUGAUAGCUACAGCAUCACAGUGAUGAGGAAGACAAGGUAUUUGUUCUCAAGAAGGCUGCAAUUUGGGAGGUUUUUCAUUUGCACUAUGGGUCACAGCUGCCAUCCCAAGGAUGGACAGUCUGGUUGCCCGAUCUCUGGAUGGAUUGGCAGAGAGGAGAUGCAGAUAGGAAUACUGGGCACAUCCCUGUGGAAUCAAACCAGGUAGGCCAGACUUGGAGACAAAGCCAUGCACAAAAAGAAAAAUGCCUGAACGAACGUGAAGCCCGUGAGCGGCCUCUCUUGACUGUGUACUUCCCAGCAGCUGACACAGAGGCAGGAACAUCCCAAGGUCCCCGAUGAAACGUCCCCAUAAAGCAAAAUGGAGUCUGGCCACCUGGGGGGACAUUCUGCUUUUUCUGCCACUCCAACCUGUGAUAAAUUCAUCCUCAGGGCCCUCUUAGAGAGGUCACUGGGUAACACAAGAAACGGCUUAUUUGAUUACAUUCUUAGAGUAAGAGUAAUUCUGAGUUUAUGGAUUCUUUUUUUAUAUUGUCCUUCGAACUAUGCUGAUGAGAAACUUAAAAGCAAUUUAAAUUGCAAGUCAGACUAAAGCCACCCAUGGCCUAAUUAGUUCAUCAGUCUUAAUCCAGCCAAGGCUCUGAAUAGCUGAGGACAAAGUUGGUUUGCAAUCUUCCAACUUUCACUGAGGUCACUUACCCGGACAGCCAGCAGGGCUCCCCACUCAAGUCCUUUCUGCAAGGCCUGUGAUGAGCUCAGAAACAGUACUGCUGUAGAUGCUGACAGCCUAGGGAGGAGACCUGCUUAGCUGAAGAUUCCGGGCAAAGCCUGAACAAGGAAAACUACAGGAUCUAAUUUUUGAACCAUUUUUAUUAACAGAUACAUGUAAAAAGUCAGUCCAAAUAAUUUUUUCCUCUGAUACACAGCCUCUCUCUCUCUCUCUCUCUCUCUCUCUCUCUCUCUCUCUCUCUCUCUCUCUCUCUCUCUGUGUGUGUGUGUGUGUGUGUGUGUGUGUGUGUGCAUGUCUCCUCUCCCUCUCUUCCUCUCUCCCUCCCCAUCUCUCUUUUAAAGCAAGUAUAAUUAAGGACCUCAUCUAUUGGGACUAAUGCAGAUAGCAGGUAGCCCAGUUUCCUCUGAAGUAUGUAUUUUUAUUUUCUACAUUAGAUUAAUUUUGCAACCUUUAAAAUAGUAGUAAAUAUAGAACCAACCAUAUCUAUAUGAAAAUCCAAAACAUUAGGGCAGCGAAAACUGGUCUGGGAAGAUAAUGGCUUGGACAGCCCAGAAUUCUCUCCUGGCUUCGGCCCAAAAUCUGCAGAAGCAGCUGCUCCCCAACAGUGUGUCUCCUCCAAGCACACCGUGCUCUCCUGAUGGACAGGCAGCCCAUUAAUUACUGUCUACAGCCAGGGGUUGCUGACCCUUCUGAUUUCAUUACAGUCAGAAACUCUCUGGUGCUUACUCUCUCAUUCAUACAAAGGCCCAGUGCUUUUGGUGUCCUUUUAUGAACCGAUUGCCUAAGGGCCCAAAUCAAAAAGGAAUCUAAUAUUGGCGCUAAAUGAUCAUUCUGUGGCCUAAAAAAAAAUCUGUGUUCAAGAUUAUUCUUGCCUGUGAUAUGACCCCUUGUUAAUACCAGAAAUAAAGCGUUAUCCCUAUGUGAGAGAAAAGCUCAAAGGAAUUUGACCUUAAAGGGUACGGUGACCUUAACUCAGAUUUAAAUACUGAGACUCACAGACUCUAAUAUUUUUCCUAUAGACAGCAGGGAUGCAGCUGCCCCACUGCUCUAUACAUUUUAAAGAAAUGGCGAGUCAGAAACCUGGAAUAACCAGGACCUCCCUAGGACACAAAUGUGCCUGGAAGUCCUAGGAAAAGGCAACCCAGCAAGACCGCCACUGCAGCCUGCGUGGUUUCUUGAGAGCAUGCAGAAUGAACACCUCUGCAGCACAGCCAGUGGCAGCACUGCUGGGAGAACUGAAGCCAUGAAACGAGCCAAUCCAAUUGAAGAGCUCACUUCAAAGCUUUUCAAAGAGACCAGGCCCGUAUUUGCAUUUUGUAAGAUCAUGGUUCUACAUGUCCAACACAACCCGUGUGGUUUAGCUUGAGCCAAAAACUAAGUCUGGAAAACUUGAAGUCAGAAUUAAAAUGAAAGGGAAGAAGACAACACAUCUGCCAAAACUAUAGCUCAUUUCGACCCCUCAGAACCCUCCAUGUUAGCAUCCUCAUCUCCUGCUCUCAGGCAGGGCUUCCAGAUUUUGUGCAUUUAUUUUUGUGCAUAAAACAAGCUAAGAAACAGGCGAUCAAUGAACUGAACUUCUCCCUCUUGAGUUCAAAUGU